UUUUUGUUCGCUUUCUAACCAUUCCUUUGGAUAAAUAGAAGUGCGGUGGCGACUCGACUUGUAUGAUUUACCUUGGAUUUAGUCAAUAUCUCUAAUGGUAACGAAUACCCCGCUAUAGUGGGAGACAACCCGCCUCUUUUUAAUUUGUUAUUGAUUUUGUUAUUUUUAUGUUUUUUCAUUUUAAGUUUUUUCCUUCUUUGAUUAUUACUUUUAUUUUGCUCCCUUUCCUUGAUUCUAUGUAGUAACGUACUUCUUGUUUGUCG
rnacentral:lncRNA from 1 species